GAUGAACGCUGGCGGCGUGCCUAAUACAUGCAAGUCGAGCGAACGGACGAGAAGCUUGCUUCUCUGAUGUUAGCGGCGGACGGGUGAGUAACACGUGGAUAACCUACCUAUAAGACUGGGAUAACUUCGGGAAACCGUAGCUAAUACCGGAUAAUAUUUUGAACCGCAUGGUUCAAAAGUGAAAGACGGCCUUGCUGUCACUUAUAGAUGGAUCCGCGCUGCAUUAGCUAGUUGGUAAGGUAACGGCUUACCAAGGCAACGAUGCAUAGCCGACCUGAGAGGGUGAUCGGCCACACUGGAACUGAGACACGGUCCAGACUCCUACGGGAGGCAGCAGUAGGGAAUCUUCCGCAACGGGCGAAAGCCUGACGGAGCAACGCCGCGUGAGUGAUGAAGGUCUUCGGAUCGUAAAACUCUGUUAUUAGGGAAGAACAUAUGUGUAAGUAACUGUGCACAUCUUGACGGUACCUAAUCAGAAAGCCACGGCUAACUACGUG
rnacentral:rRNA from 1 species